GUAAGGAGGGCUGCAUCUGCUGUGUACUACAAUACAAUAUACGCCAAUAGGUGAAAGAAGAGUGACUGGAGGAAAUAAAUGCUUCAAGGUCUCGCCACAACGCAGAAUCCUGUGUCUGGUGCCUCUGUUUCCGCCUGGAACACACCUCACCUACAUCUAAAACACAACGCAGAGUUCACGGAGUGUCUUCCACAAGCUACGGACGCACAGAGGGACAGACUGGGUUACAUCUAUAUUUUACUAAAGUCUACAGGGACAAACAAAAAUAUGUGUGUGCGUUAUAAAAAAUGUACUAUAUCUGAUAUUUACAUGUCUUUCGGGGUGUAAUUUAGGAGAAAUAAAACACAAUAUAGUUUUCAAUCUUAA